rnacentral:rRNA from 1 species
CCUACGGGUGGCAGCAGUGAGGAAUAUUGGUCAAUGGACGAGAGUCUGAACCAGCAACGCCGCGUGAAGGAUGACUGCCCUAUGGGUGGUAAACUUCUUUUAUAUGGACAUAAAAUGUUCCACGUGUGGGAUUUUGUAUGUACAAUAUGAAUAAGGAUCGGCUAACUCCGUGCCAGCAGCCGCGGUAAUACGGCGGAUCCGAGCGUUAUCCGGAUUUAUUGGGUUUAAAGGGAGCGUAGGUGGAUUGUUAAGUCAGUUGUGAAAGUUUGGGGCUCAACCGUAAAAUUGCAGUUGAAACUGGCAGUCUUGGGUACAGGAGAGGUGGGCGGAAUUCGUGGUGUAGCGGUGAAAUGCGUAGAUAUCACGAAGAACUCCGAUGGCGAAGGCAGCUCACUGGACUGCAACUGACACUGAGGCUCGAAAGUGUGGGUAUCAAACAGGAUUAGAUACCCUUGUAGUC